ACCUAAAACUCCGGGGUUUGGCUGGAAAAUAUUAGACUAAUCCCUGGUAACUUUCAGAAUCUAAGAUCAUCUGAAUAUUUAUAAGGAUUUCCUAAGUACCUACUUGAAACUGGAAAACACCGAGGUGAUACAAGUGAACACCCAGAAGGAGUGGUCCUCUGUGACAUCCACGACUCCCGCAAUUCAAACAGGAGUGAGUGGCUGUAGAUGUGCUGCGAUGGUCAAGUACUGUCUGUUGCAAAUUGCUUUGCUCCCGAACCCAGUUACGGUUGCUAAGUGACAAAAACUGAAUUGUCUCUUAUGACUUCGACUAAGCCAAGCAUUUGAAAGCAAGAAAGUGAAGUGCUAAUGACGAUGCCGCUCUCCUGCUGUCCCUAUAACAAGGCAGGUUUGGUACUAAUCUGUUUUGCAGAGCAGACAAAGGUGUUUGUUUGCUGUUUUUCUCCACUAACUCUAUUAUUCCCGAUGGUAUUAGAGAGAAUUACAUUAAUUGCUAUGGUAAUCGUAACAGGAAGCAAUUACUUUCAGCAAACAGCAAUUACUUCACCUUCCCAAAUUUGUUUGUGGCCACACCUGCCCAUAAUCCUAGAUUUAAAACAAUUUUUUUUUUCUGGAAAUUAAAAAAGGAAAGAUGCUGUGUGCUCUUUGGUGGGGAGGGUGUGCAAAUCUGCAUGUUAGGGAUCUUACCCACAGCCGAACCCCAAGGGCAAAACCAGAUACUUAAAAAUCUCAUUACUUUUGUAAGCAUCUCAAGUAAGCAUCUCGUCAGAGGUGGCUUAGGACUGCUUGUAGUUGUGAUUGGUAAU